GCGCCCGUAGCUCAGCUGCUAGAGCAGUGUGACGGUUCCUCACGGUCCCAGGUUCAAGUCCAGGCGGUCACU